rnacentral:rRNA from 1 species
UACGUAGGGGGCAAGCGUUGUCCGGAAUCAUUGGGCGUAAAGCGCGCGUAGGCGGCCCGAUAAGUCCGCUGUAAAAGUCCAGGGCUCAACCCUGGAAUGCCGGUGGAUACUGUCGGGCUAGAGUCCGGAAGAGGCGAGUGGAAUUCCUGGUGUAGCGGUGGAAUGCGCAGAUAUCAGGAGGAACACCGGUGGCGAAGGCGGCAUCCUGGACCAAUACUGACGCUGAGGAGCGAAAGCUAGGGGAGCAAACGGG